GUUAGGAAUAUUGGACAAUGGGCGCAAGCCUGAUCCAGCCAUGCCGCGUGAGUGAUGAAGGCCUUCGGGUUGUAAAGCUCUUUAGUCCACGAAUAUAAUGACUGUAGUGGAAGAAUAAGCCCCGGCUAACUUCGUGCCAGCAGCCGCGGUAAUACGAAGGGGGCGAGCGUUAUUCGGAAUCACUGGGCGUAAAGCGUGCGUAGGCUGUUUUGUAAGUCAGAAGUGAAAGCCCAGGGCUUAACCCUGGAAUUGCUUUUGAAACUACAAGACUCGAAUUCGGGAGAGGAUAGCGGAAUUGUCAGUGUAGCAGUGAAAUGCGUAGAUAUUGACAGGAACACCAGUGGCGCAAGCGGCUAUCUGGACCGAUAUUGACGCUGAGGCACGAAAGCGUGGGGAGCAAACAGGAUUAGAAACCUGAGUAGUCC
rnacentral:rRNA from 1 species